rnacentral:lncRNA from 1 species
UUUACAAAAGAUGCAUGAAAUCUAAAAAAUGGGAGGCAAACUUUCCUGGACUUGUUCUUUCUUCAUAAAAGGUAUUACUAAAAGAGAGACUACUGCGUCAAAGGAAUGAUAGAAAUAGUAAAGUUGAAGUCAUAUUAUUGUGGAGUUUAUUGACAAUUAAAGUACAUCAAUAUUACACAAGAUCAAUGAUUGGGACAGAGCAAAAAUACAGAAAUAAGUGAAUGAGGUGUAUAUCUUGAAUUUUUACUUUCGUGAGCAACAACCAUGGGGCCACAUUUGGAGCAGGUACUGUCUACCCAUCAAGAGCACAUGAGUUACUUUUUUUUGGUGGGGUUCAUGUUGUUUAAUUGUUAUUUUGUGUGUAAUCACUGUAAUGUAAUGUAAAUAAACUCAUCAUAGAUACCAG